GACGAACGCUGGCGGCGUGCCUAAUACAUGCAAGUAGAACGCUGAAGGAGGAGCUUGCUUCUCUGGAUGAGUUGCGAACGGGUGAGUAACGCGUAGGUAACCUGCCUGGUAGCGGGGGAUAACUAUUGGAAACGAUAGCUAAUACCGCAUAAUAGUAGAUGUUGCAUGACAUUUGCUUAAAAGGUGCAAUUGCAUCACUACCAGAUGGACCUGCGUUGUAUUAGCUAGUUGGUGGGGUAACGGCUCACCAAGGCGACGAUACAUAGCCGACCUGAGAGGGUGAUCGGCCACACUGGGACUGAGACACGGCCCAGACGCCUACGGGAGGCAGCAGUAGGGAAUCUUCGGCAAUGGACGGAAGUCUGACCGAGCAACGCCGCGUGAGGGAAGAAGGGUUUCGGAUCGUAAAGCUCUGUUGUAAGAGAAGAACGAGUGUGAGAGUGGAAAGUUCACACUGUGACGGUAUCUUACCAGAAAGGGACGGCUAACUACGUG
rnacentral:rRNA from 1 species